GAUUAGGGAAUGUGACAUCUGUCAGCCCACUGAUUUCCAGAAUUGAUUUGGCUGGUCUGGCUGCCUAGGUGACUGUCACUUUUCUUUCUUCCAGCUUCAUGGGUUUCCCCCACAAAGCUGUGAGCUCAGUGGAAGAGGAAGGCCAUUAUAGAUUGGGGUAUGCCAUUCUGGACUGUCGUAGUCUGCACCAGCAUGUGAAUGGCAGGCCACUAUUC
rnacentral:snRNA from 1 species